UCAACGCGGUGGCUCGAGCGGCUGGGGGCGCGGCGGCUGGAGCUUGCAGGGGGGCAGAUCUGUGCACGGCAGGGGCUGGGGAGGCGGAUCCGGUGACGGGCAGCGAGGCAGAGGUCGCCGGUGACGAAGAGGAAGGCCGGAGCGUGGCUUCCCGGGCGGAUCCAUGGCAGAAAAGAGACAGGGUUGUGAGGAAGAGAAGAUGGGAGAAAAGAGGGCGGUGUGGCGACGGGCGCGGGAGACGGAAGGAUCCGGCAUGGCAGCGCGAAGUCCUUGUAGUUGGAGGUGGGCCUUCAUUGCCGCGGCGACCCCUCCCCUUCUCUCCAUGGCCGCGGCAGCUCAGGCAACGGUCAGAUCCGCCCUCCCCCCCUCAUUCCUCGCGCUGGAUAACCUAGCCGCCGGCCAUGGUGACCGACAGCGAUGAUGACGGUGGUGGCUACCUCGACGACGAAGGCACACACCCAACAUCGCCAUGGACCGGUAGCUCAAGCAUUCUUCUUCCUGACGGUGAUGGUGUUCCCUCACCAUCUUCAGGUCUUCAUCCUUGAGGCCUCCACCAUCUGCAGGUCUUCCUUCUUUUCUUCCCCUCUCUGUUGGAUUCCAUUCGAUUCUCUGCUCUGCAGGUGAAGCUCUAUCUAUUCUCUGCUGCAGUGUCUACAGUGGACUGUUUUCACCUUCUGUGCAAAUACCUGAUUGUAUAUGAAUUGAAUGGAUGGAUAGAUUGCAGGGUCUACAAUGCACCACCUUGAUUUGAUUCGGUCUGGAGCAGCAGCAUCUGCUCCUUCCUUACUUCUCAACCAUCUGUAUUUACAUUACUACUGUAAGCUUCUGAAAUGUAAAUUAUGCUAGGACAAUUCCUCUUUAGCUUUAACUAUGAUAUUCCUAAAUGCGCAAGUAAAUACUACUGGGAUUACGACUACAAAAAAAAUUCAUGACAUGCCAGCAAUUCUCGGUUUAAAUACUGUGAGCUUAAAUAACAGGAGCUAAACUGCCGUGCUAUGUUCAGAAUUGGUACUAGAAAAGAUAAUCUAAACUGCACAUUCUGAAAGUAUAUUGGACUCUUGCCCUCGAGAAAUUAGUCUUCUAAGCAUUACUUUGUAAAUAAAUGACAUGAUAACUUGUUGGUUCAGUUUAAAGCUUUAGGCAGAGGCUUGUGGUAGGGGGAAAUCACUGCCACUUGGAAACCAAAACUUCUAUUUGUGAGUAUGACCGGGACUGCGCUUUUCUGAAAGUAUGUUAGCUAAUGUUUGGAUAUCUUUCAAUUACUUCUGAACAAGAAAGAUGUAGUGCCAUCCUAAGUUUGGAUGUGGAGUUGCAAUGUAACCUGCUUUUAGGUGCCGAAGAAGAGUGCGCAGGAGGAUAGAAAUGGGCUCGGAUACGACGGCUGGAAGAGGACUAUGCUCUCUUAAACCUGAAUGAGCCAGAAGUGGCAAGACAGAUCUGUCAGUCAAUUAUUCUUCAGUUUCGGUUGUGAUGUUUCAACAUGAGUUCAGAGCAUUAAUGCUUUGCUGAUGCGAGGAGGUGAAGUUGUAUGUUACCAGAGUGCAGAUAUUACUUGGUAUGUUUGCUUUCAAGAAAAGAUGGAUGUGUGUUGUGACUGUGGCAGAGGGUUCUACUGGAUAUGUUGUUGGGUAUAUGACAAGAAGCAUUGGUAAGGAUAUCAAAAUAGAAGAGAAUGCUGCAACGACCAAGGUGCCAUAUAUAUCGAAGGUGCUCGCAAACUUCCUUCGACUGGAGGAUUCGGAAUAUGAAGUUACUGGAAACAUUGUUGGAAGUGUUGGUCCUGAGAGUACAGAAAAGGAUUCAUCGUUUCUUAUAAAAACAUUGCGAUCAUUCAAAGAAGCUUUGAUUAAGGAUGAUGACACAAAUGUUGCUGAGAUUGAGGCCUUCUUACUUUGCAUUGAUGUUGAUGAUGAGAAGAACUCUCUUAUGAGGAAAAUCAUUGCUUUAGAUGAAUUAUUGAUAACCGUGAGAGAUUGUGUCUUGAGAGCAGGUGCAGAAUCUGUAUUCUACAGACUGAGGGCAGGUGCAGAUUCUGAAUUCUGCACACAGAAGACAGAAACAGAGAGCUGGUGGCAAAUGUGCAAGGGGAAGUUAUGGAGAUCUUUCUUCGCUAGCUGAAUAAGUCUAUCAGGAGUCAAGGCCUGUUUUGUUGGAGGCUUGAUGGAACUUGCCUGGCCUGAUAAGUAAUUGUGCGCGGUUUGGUUGGCGUCCUUGGUGCUUGGCUUGAGCUAGCAUGUCGUGUUGUUAUCUUGGUUGAGGCAGCUGGAGUUAGCAAGGUGAUUAGUCAAGGGUGGCUGUCGAUGCCAUUUAAAAAAUAGGUCUUAAAACUUCAUAUUUCCUCAGGAAAAAUUCGUAUGAAUUAAUGAAUAUCAGGCUACAUUCAGGCGACACUUUUGUCAGGCACAGAGCUCAGGGUAGCAACCACAUAGUUAAGUGAGCUUUUGUUCAAAUGCGUUGGUACUUUAGUUUUUAGAUUCUGUGAUGAUGGUAUGCAUAAAUACAUGAGCUGUUUCAACCAGUACCACAUAGUAUUAAUGAGGUAACAGAAGCUUGCAAUUCAAUUAUCCUGUAUCUGCCCGAGUCUGGAAGGUCAGAUAAGUUGUUCCGCAAGAUAGACAACAACUUUUCAUGUGUCAUCACAGUGGGCUGAGAACUUGUUGAUGAAGCCAAUGAUUGGGUUGAUCAUAGUGAUAGGGCAUCAGACGUAAUGCUAGAUUUAACCCCAGACAAAUGGGCAAACAUGAAAAGAGGAAAGAUGUCAAUGCAUGAGCCAGAGGGUUCCAGUGGUGAAUAUUUUGGACUAGAAGUUAAGGAUGUUUCACGGGAAGAAGCCAUUCUUUCCAAUGUUUACAUAUAAGAUAUACCAGUACAUCCCAAUUGGUAGGGCCCCUCCACUGAUAAGUUGGAUAUCCUUUUAACAAGUGUCUCGGAGAGAAUAAAGCGUUAGAUUUUAUCAUACUUUUAAAGUUUUAACAUGUCAAAGAAGGGAGAGGAGACACCAGCGGAUGGCAAGAUGGAUGAACUGUUGGACAGUGUUAGCCUUAAUUACCUAAAUCCUAAUGAAGUGGAAAACUUUAUGAUUAUCAUAGAAAAUGUGCAACACUCUUCUUCUGAGCAUGAAGGGCAGAAUGAUGAUUUCGAAGCAAAUAUCAUUGAGCAAGAUGAUGAACACAUUGGAACAGUAAGAUUUUACUAAUCUUACUGUUGCAUGCAAAGACAUUGGUGAUGUCAUAUCAGAAGACCCACAGAAGGUUUAGGUUUCCGAGGGCCAAGCAGAAAUAAGUGAAGACUAUGCCGGUAUUCUAAAUAAUGGCAACACAUAUUAUGUAAACACAGUUCUGCAGUAUUUUCAUUGUUUCUCAGAGCUCAAAGCAAUCUUAAUAAUUUGUGAACGGUCCUGACGUAUGAGUUCUUGGGCCUGAUGUUCUAUGGUUGAUUUCGGGAUGUGUAAGAGCAGGGCGACUACCACUAUAUCAUACUCUCUUGACUGGGAUGAGCUUCGUUUUUUUGUAGAAAAAUGAUAGAAUAAGAAUUGUGAUUUCUGCUGAUAUUAUGAUAUGCUUUUCGGCUA